UUUUUUUUUUUUACAUCUUUAUUUUUUUAUCAUUGAGCUUUUAUGUGCUGUGGUGUAAAUUAUUUUUGAGCUAUAUCUGAACUUUAUCAGUCAUUCUGUGAGUUGCCGAACACUGUAGUGGUCAGCGGUUUUGGCAAGCUAUGUUUAUUACUUAUGUAGCAAAAAAUUUAAACUGUUAAGAAUAUAUAUUAUUUAGAACAAUCAAAAUGUUAAUAUAUAUGUAUGACCUAUACAAUUUUUAUAUUGAAAUUAUAAUAGCUACUGGGAAUGUUUUGCCAAUUGCAUUUAUGCACGGGUUGAUUCCAAUUCUGUAUUAGGAAGUGAAUUUUGAACCUAGUUCAGUCCUGAAAUUGACUUGUAAGGUGGUCUUUAUAACCAUGAUUAGAUACUAUACUGUAAUUUUUAAUAUUUUUAGUCGAUGUAAAAUUUCCAGUAUAUUCUCUCAAUGAAUACUGGGCAUCUUAGAGGUGAGAUUAAAUAUUUAUAGGUGGUGUGUUAAGGAGUGAUAUGAUAGGUCUAACAAAUGUCAAUAGGAUAAACUUUAAUAUCAUAUUGUAGUGAUUGCUAGUAGUUGUGUGUUAUGUAUACAUAAAUGUUAUUAUCUGUAAUGAAUAAUAAGAAAUACAAUAAUAAGG
rnacentral:sRNA from 1 species